CUUCUUGCAAGUAGUUUUAAACAAUAAACAUGGUAAAUUGCACAUUUAAGAGUUAUGACUGAAUCUGCUGUCUGCCUAAUGGUGUUCCACGCGAAAUUCUACAUCCCAAACGAGAAAGAGUAAAAUACGUAAAUUUAUUAUGGCAUGCAUAAAUGCUGCACACAAUCAGCAGUAAUUGAGGAAUGAGUUAUUUAUAGAAUAAAUGCGCAUGACCCGGUCAUUCCUAGUUUGAACAGUCAAGGCUUCCGCCGCAACAAAGCGCCCUUUAGCGCAAGCACACCCCGUUUUCGUUGGAAGGCACUGUUUACCACUUCCAGCAUUGUUUUUCCUACGAAGGAAUGGUGUUCCCUAGCAAAGGGCGAUGUCUCGCGCUUGUGCAGGACUCUGCCCUUAGCUUUUUGGUUGGUAUUUUUAUAACACAAAUCAGUAAAAUAAAGAACUGGACUUAAAGAGCACGGCUUCUUAGAAGUAUAAUCCACAACUGGUUCCAAUUUCUGGAAGCCUCUGCUAUACUGCAAUGAGAUGUACAGCUAUGGCAACUUCUUGCAGUAUCAAAAUAGACUUAUCAAAUGAAGAUGGAUCCAAGUCUGGUAUGAACAGGAGAAGGCAAGCAAGAUCUUUUCCAACAUAAUGCAUCCUGUGUCCUAAAUGUACUUAAAGUAAGGUAUAUAAAUAUUUAAUGGAAAUUAUGCAAGUUUCUGG